UUCCGGUUGAUCCUGCCGGAGGUCAUUGCUAUCGGAGUCCGAUUUAGCCAUGCUAGUCGUGCGAGUUCAGACUCGCGGCAUAUAGCUCAGUAACACGUGGUCAAGCUACCCUACAGAGAACGAUAUCCUCGGGAAACUGAGGCCAAUAGUUCAUAAGGUUCCCAGGCUGGAGUGCCGGGAACUGGAAACGUUCCGACGCUGUAGGAUGCGGCUGCGGUCGAUUAGGUAGACGGUGGGGUAACGGCCCACCGUGCCGAUAAUCGGUACGGGUUGUGAGAGCAAGAGCCCGGAGACGGAAUCUGAGACAAGAUUCCGGGCCCUACGGGGCGCAGCAGGCGCGAAACCUUUACACUGCACGCAAGUGCGAUAAGGGGACUCCGAGUGCGAGGGCAUAUAGUCCUCGCUUUUCUGUACCGUAGGAAGGUACAGGAAUAAGAGCUGGGCAAGACCGGUGCCAGCCGCCGCGGUAAUACCGGCAGCUCAAGUGAUGACCGAUUUUAUUGGGCCUAAAGCGUCCGUAGCUGGCCAGACAAGUCUGUCGGGAAAUCCAUCCGCUCAACGGAUGGGCGUCCGGCGGAAACUCUCUGGCUUGGGACCGGAAGGCUCGAGGGGUACGUCUGGGGUAGGAGUGAAAUCCCGUAAUCCUGGACGGACCACCGAUGGCGAAAGCACCUCGAGAAGACGGAUCCGACAGUGAGGGACGAAAGCUAGGGUCUCGAACCGGAUUAGAUACCCGGGUAGUCCUAGCCGUAAACGAUGUUCGCUAGGUGUGGCACAGGCUACGAGCCUGUGCUGUGCCGUAGGGAAGCCGAGAAGCGAACCGCCUGGGAAGUACGUCCGCAAGGAUGAAACUUAAAGGAAUUGGCGGGGGAGCACUACAACCGGAGGAGCCUGCGGUUUAAUUGGACUCAACGCCGGA
rnacentral:rRNA from 1 species